rnacentral:rRNA from 1 species
AUACGGAGGAUCCGAGCGUUAUCCGGAUUUACUGGGUUUAAAGGGUGCGUAGGCGGGCCCCUCAGUCAGCGGUGAAAGUCUGCGGCUCAACCGUAGGAUUGCCGUUGAUACUGGGGGGCCUUGGAUUCGGUCGAGGCGGGCGGAAUGCGUGGUGUAGCGGUGAAAUGCUUAGAUAUCACGCAGAACGCCGAUUGCGAAGGCAGCUCGCCGGGCCGAAAUCGACGCUGAGGCACGAAAGCGUGGGGAUC